AACAUGGCUGCAAGAGCAGCUCCUAUACACCCUGCCCCUAUAAAAUUGAAUUGGUUCAUAUAUACUAAAUUUUAAAGGUCUUUUAGACUUAUGGAUUUAUUUAAAAAGAAAAAAAAAAGGUUUAUUCUUGAUGUCCUGAGCACAUUAUUGCAGUAACCUCACUGCUGGACCACAGCUUUGGCACAACACACACAUCCAUAAUGAGGGACUGCCUGUUCUAGGGAGGUUUUAUUACAAAAGAAAGUGCACAAGUAUAUUAGGAAGAGGGGGGAGAACAGAGAAGUCUAUUUUUUUGGCAAAGCCUUGUAUUAUAGAUCUCAUUUCUCUGGUUGCAGCUGCCUUUAGGCACCCAUUUCAGUGAGCUGCUCUGUUCUGCUUAGCUGUAGAUGCUUCCCAAAUUUCCUCUUUGGUGAAACAGGCAUUUGUGCAGGUUCCCCAUAAAAAUGACUGAUUUGGGUUUUACCAGGAGCUCUGGCACUUCUCCACUACAAGAAAGAAUUGCAUUUAUAGAGAGGUUUAUCAAGAUGGGAAUAGUGAAACAAACAUUUUAAAUGUCCAGCAGAAUCCUCUGUCUUCCCCCAAACAAGCCUCCCUGGGCAGGAAUUUCAGCCGUUCUGGAAUGAGAGCCUCCUGAAAGGAACCUGGCUCCCUGUGGGACUGCCCAGCUUCCAGCCCUGCUGCUGGGGGAAGAGCUCACCACAGGACACCUCAUGUAUCUGCUCUGGUUUGGAACCGUGUGUGCGAUCAAAUGUAGGACUGCUGGAGCCCGUGGGGCUGGAGCAGGUGCUGACGUUGGCCAGGCUGCUGGGACCCCAGGAGGAGAGCUCGGAGCCAAUUCCCUUCCUGUCCCACAGCCAGCAGUAAAUGCCACCAUCACUGCAAGGAGCCUGGUGAGCUGUGAAAUAAAGAUUGAUCCUUCCCACACCAAGAACUGCCUGAGACACCCUGGAACUCCACACUUCAUGUCCAGGUGUGCUGUGACUGACCUGGUGCUGCUGUGGGAUAUUCAUGGGGAUAUUCAGUGCUGCUUUUUGGACAAACUUCUUGAUGCAGUGUUUGUUAGAACCACUACUUGUGAGAAGAAACCUGGGUGUGCUCAUUUCUUGCUGAGGUUCCCCUCACUGCCCUUGUCUCCAGCUCCAAUCCCUCUCUGCAGAGACCUGCCUGACUCACUGCACAACUUGGAAACAGCCCCAGAUGGCCAGGAAUGGGAUCCCCCACGUUCUCCUCCCAGUCUGAGAAGACAAGAAAAUAAACAAGGAAAAUGUCUGUGCUGAUGGCAUCUGUUGGCUCCCUCAUAAGUACAAUCUGGUUAGGAAUUCAACAUGCCAAGGCAGGUGAUGGAAGGAUUCUGGAAGGAAAGUGAAAAAUGACAUAAAUGAGCUGCAACAACAGCCCUGCCCUGGCAAGGAGUACAACUGGAGGUAAUCCUAAAUGACAAAGGCUUUGUUUUCCUAAUUACCAUUAAAACAUCGUGGACAGAAUCUCUGGACAGGGUAAAUCUGUUUCCAUGGGAUUUUUGGUUAACUGACCCUUUUUUCCCCUUCCCUAAUAUCCUGGACCUGAUUUUAAAGGUAACUGAACACCAAGAGGUUUGGAUUAGCACAUAAAAAAUUCACUGCUGCCCUCUCCAAACUCUUUAAACUCUUCAAACUCUUUGUAAACUCCUGUACAUCUUUUAAAUUGGCAAAUUCUGUCCUGUGUCCUCUGGUGAGGGCUGCUGAAGCGGGUGCAGUGGGAUCUCACACGGAGAGGGAGGCAGUGUGCUGCUGAGUAAUGGUGAAUUUCUCAGGAAAUGAAUAAUUUUGGGACUUUCUAAAGGUCUUGAAGUUCCCCUGAACUUUUAUAGUUGGUUAUAUAAAAUGAAAAGAGAGAACUCUUAGUCUAGAUAACUGUCAGUCGGGUGAGAUAACCUCAGAAAGGCUCUGGCAGGUCAAGGCACUUCAGUGACAGUUUUUGGGAAGAGACCAGUCAGCAGAGCUGCCUCCCCUGAUGGGUGUCUGAAAUGGAAAUUCCAGCUCUCCCUCUUGCAGCAGAUUUAAGUGGAAGUUCACUGCCCUGGUGGGCACCUGGAUUGUGUAACUGACCUCUGAGAAGUACCUGAGCGACCUUUUGUGUCCACUGCUACAAAUUAAAGCCCAGACAGGGACAGGUGAGCUGAAGGCAGCAGUGGAAAAGACAGACUGACACCUGGCCCUGUUUUCUCCUUAGGGGCAGCUCUGGAUGAUUCCGAAGUGGUUCAGGGGUUCAUGGGGUGGUGUUGUGCUGUCCCUGCUGGGUUUGGAUGUUGAGACUCUGCAGGAGCAUGUCUGGAGCCCCCUGGCACAGGGACACUGCCAUGGAGGAGGAGGCCUGGGCUCCAGAGGGAAUCUGCUCCACCUGCAACUUUGCAGCUCAGGAGCAGAGUCACUGCCCUGAUGGUGAUGCCUCAGGUUUUAGUUUUUAUGUUUUUCAGAUUCUGUGCUGCUUUAGUGCGUGGGUCUGGGUUCACAUCAGGGCAUGGUGAGCUCUGUGCACAGAGCAGGGAGACAAAACAAUUCCUGCUCCAGCUGGGCACCAAGGACAAAUGAUCCCAAUCUCAGCCCAGGAGCACAAACCCCGUGGGCUGCAGAGAGAAAAACAAGCAGGAUGGGACUGCAGGGGCUGCAGCUGGGGUUGGACACUGAACUGCAAUGUGCACAUGGAGCAGAGCUGAGCCCAGGGAGAGACCCCGGCAGCGCUCGUGCAUUUUGGGACCAUUUGGGUUCAUCUUGGGUGCAGCUCUGGCUGGGCUCUGGUGCUGCCCAGGGUGGAUCCAUGGAGGAGAUCCUUUGAAUCAAUCCCUGCUUUAUUCUGGAACUCUGGCCAGCCUCUGUUCUAGAGCAGCCUGCUCAAGGCACCACUGGCAGUGCCAGUCCAGCCUGGCAGAGCCCAAUUCCUGCAGAGACCACAGACACUGCAGAGGGAACGUGGCACAAAGCACUCCAUGGAAAACCAUGGACAACUGGAGUCCUACACUGUCAAGGACUGGAAUUCAAAGCAGCAGAAUGAUGUUUCCCUUUGUUACAAUCAUUCCAAUUCCAGGUAUGUAGAUUUUUUUCUAAUUCUGCUUCAAAUUGGCACUCGGUGAUUGCCGGGAAUGAGGAAUGGAUUGGGUUUUCCACAGUGCUGUGCUCCAGGUCAGCUUGAAAACACGGGAAAUGGCAGGUUAAUGGCAGUUUAACACCAAUUAACAGGCCACUUUAUUAUAGAUUAGCAUUCGGAGCCUGUUCAGUGGGUAAUUACAAUAAUUAACUCUCGGAGCUUGCCUACACUUGUGAAAUUUGGUGCCUCUGUUUACUCUGGAGAAGGAGUGCAGGAGCAGAGAUGGAUGAUUUGGAGUGCUGGAGCCAGGCAGGAUGGCAAGGACACUAAAUUUGGGCUUGCUCUUGAACUGUGCUCACAGGUGACAUCCCCAGGUAGAGGGGACUCUGUCCGUGACUGUUUUAGUCCUGGCUGAGCACAGCUGAGAUUUGUGUUCCACCUGUGCUGCCGAGCAGCCUCUGCAUCCCUGGCCUCACACAGAUGGAUUUCCCACCUCCUCGGGCCAGUCCUUUUCAGCAUUCAGCACAAUAAAUCCCCUCCUGUUGGGAGCACUGACGGUGAGGAGUGUUCGAGCAUCCAUCCCGAUGCUCAAAAGAGCUCAACGUGCAGCAGGAUGGUGUUCCAAAUUCUUGGGGAAAGCUGUGAAUCCUUCAGGAGAUGCAGUGGUUUCCUGUGGGGUUGGAAUGGAUGGACCUGCUGCCUCUGGAAACAGGUCUCUGCUCACGUUGUGCUGCUGGGUUAAAGGUUGUAAAAUCUUUGUAAUUCUUGAGUUCCUGUUGAGUUGAUGCAUCUCAUUUAAUUUCAUUGACCUUAUCGCUUAAAUACUGUGAAAUCUGCUGAGAAAUGCUAAAGGUGAGCUCUAGUUGUGGUUAUUUUUUAAAUAUUCAGGCAGUGGACAGAGCUAACACAGCAAAUGUAGCCUGUGUAUGUGUGUGGCUUCACUCCUGCAUUAAUUAAAUAAAUUAAUAAAACCACUGGAUUGUGAGGCACCAAUCUUUGGGAGCCAUGAUCCAAAUCCCAUUGCUCUGGGGGAUGGAUUCAUCAUUCAUAUAAUCCAGGAACCAGGACCUGUUCUGGCAAUGGGGAAAAAGAGGUUCUAAAUCAAAUCUGGGAUUUCAAGUAGAAAUUGUAUUGCUCAGAUUGUGGGGCUGGAUUUUUGUCAUCCAGGCCAAAAGCCAUUUGGGGAAAAAGACUUUGGCAGAGAAAUGAGAAUAACUGAUAAAGCUGAAGAAGGGUUCAAAACUCCUCAGUCCAGGGGGCGAGAAACCUCAGCCUUGUUCAGAAAACUAGAAAUUAAUUUCCCUUCAACAUUAAUAAAAACUUGUUUUUCCAUCUCCUGCCUGUUCCAGGACCUUCCCUCACUGCUCAGCAGAAGGGGAACCCACUGCAGAGCCUCUCCAAACACAAAUAAACCCUGUAGGCACUCUGGGGGAGUGCAGCAGCUAUUUGAGAGCUCAGCUGCUCAGUGGCCUCCUUGUUACUCACUCCUGGCUUUUUAGAGCCAGUCUGUCCCCGUGGGUGUGCCAAAGAACAUUUCCUAUCCCCCAGGUGCCUGGAUGAGCUGGAGAUGUGUCCUGGUCCUGGCGAGGAGGGUUGGAUGGGCUGGAAAAGGAGCCAAUUUCAGCUGUUUUCAGCACCAUCAUGGACCUUUGGCACUGGGGUGAUAAAGCAGUUCAUGAACAGCGAGAUCUUGGUGAGGCAUCAGCACUUCCCAAAGGAGCAGGGCAGCUCUGGAUGCAGGUGAGCAAAGGCUGCAGAGGUGCCACAGCUUAUUAACCCUUAAUAACCAACAUUUCUGUGCCACAGAUCAAACACUGCAGCGGGUUUGGGGUGCUCUCCCCGAGUGUAACACCUCGGACCUCUGAGCCCUUGCUGUGAUAAAAAGCUGCAGACACAACUCCCCAACGAAUGUCUUCAUAAUACUUAACAUUCGACGGAGCAAGAGGAGAAUAAUGAGCACUGCAGCCAUCCCAGGCACUGGAAUUCCACUGGAGACAGGGAUUCCUGUCAGCCUGGGCUGUGCCCAGUGCUGGAUCUGUGCUGGCACCAGGCAGGAGCUCCACAGCCCUCACAGGAGCAGCAGGUGUGGUCUGAAGGAAGUGCAGCUCUUCCUGAUGACUUCAAACACGAGCAGACUGGAGAGGGAAAGGGGGAGGCUGCAGAGCCAGGAGCAGCAGAGAGGCUGUCAGGGGAACCCUCAGCACUGGAACCUUUCAGAGCAGGAAGAUGUGGUGGUUUCAUCCUGAACCACACGAAGAGGAGCCCGGUGCACUCGAGGCAGAGAUGAAAAGUGAGGAUCAGAUGAAAGGAUGGCAAUGAUCACUCAGCACCUGUUCCCAAGGUGGGUGGGCCCAGCCUUAACAAAGCUUUAAGCCAAGAAAUACAAUCAGAUGUAGCUUUUUGGCUGUCUUUACAAUCACCCACGUGUCUGGAUAUGGCUGGAAUUUUCCAGGAGUUGGAUGGAUCCAAUCUCUGAUGGAUUCAGGUGAGUUUCCUUAUCAGGGUUGGCAGCAGAAAGGUGACUGUGGCUUUAAAUGACAUUAAAAUGUGGCUCUCAUCCUCCUGUGUCCCUAAAACAAUUUAGUGCCACUGUAAUUAUUAGCAUUCUCAUUAAGAAGAGUUGAGCUGAAAACCAAGACACAAAGAAGCAGUGACUUCAUCAGAGCCAGCAAAUCCAGAUAAAGCAGGUUCCUAAUUCACUUCCAUGCUUUCAAAUAAAUCCUCAGAGCAUCAAUUACUGUAUCUCUUGUAAAGCAAUUACUAUCAGCCUCCAUUGCUCCCCUUUACACAUUUUAAUUUAAUCAUUAUUUUUGCUUUAAAAUACAGGGUAAGGAAUUUCACGGCUCCUCAGGAAGAACUAAAGCAGACAACAACAACAAAAACCCUGUAAAAGCAGAAAUUACUUUCUUUUGUAAUCAGGUUGAUUAGACUCGUGUAUAAUCAUACACAGCAGGUGGGAAGAUUAACAUUUCACUAAUUCCUAGUGGUCAUUACUGCAAGGAAAUUUAAUCUGCAGAGUUCACAAGGAUUGCAGUUGCAUGCUGGUAAAGCUCAUUUAAAAGACAGAGCAAAAACAACACAACUUUGUAUUCUGGAAUCCAGUUUUGCUCUGAACUCUUUUGGCCUGCAGGCAACACACAUACACCAGGAUCUUCUACUUAAUUGAGAAAUAGAUUUGUAUUGAUCAGGCCCACUUAACAAGCACAUUCAGAGCUGUUCCUGCUCUCAGUUACUCGGGUGGGGAAUGCAGGCAGACCCCAGAGGCUUGAGCUACCUGAUAAAAUAGAUAUUUUUACAGCACAUGCAUUUUUCUCUGUGGGGGCUGCGCUAGUACACAACACUGAGAGUCAGUUCUCAUAUUUGGAUCAAUUCAGAGUAGUUCUGCUGAAGCUGAACAACUUAUUAAUUUCUUCCUAUGAAAACAAAAAGUGACAUAAUUAUUGUGAUCAGGUUCUGCUUCACUAACCUGGACGUGGGUUACUCCAAAAUAAAAUGCCUGGCAGCUCACAGGGAGCAGGUUCUGGUGAUCUGCCAUUCCUGCACCUCUGAUCUCUGCAUCCUCAUUCCCAGCUGGAGCUUUCCCAGCCCCACCAGUGCUGCAGCGCAGCGUGGUCUGGGACUGAGCUGGGAAUGCUUGAAGGGAUAUUGGAAGGGUAAAUCAGGGUGACUGCUCUGCUCUCCCUCGUGUGGGGUCUGCCUGGGCUCUGUCUCCCAGCCGGGAGAUGAAAGGGCAGAAGGGAAGGCAGAGCUGAGCCUAAACUGGGCAGGGUUUCUGGGUGGGAGUGGAAGCAGAUCCCAGGGAAGCAGAGCCCUACCCAAUUCAGGGCAACCCCAACGUCUGGGAAUGACUGGCAUCCAUGAUUCAGAAGGCUGAACAACUGCUUUAUUAAAACUAUACUAGAUUACAUUGAUACUGUAUUAUAACUAUACUAAAGAGAACUAUACUGUAUUAUGCAAAAGAUACUAAAGAAAAACCCAUGACUGUCUGAGACAGCCUGGACACAGCUUUGAGCCAGCUGGCCAAGGGAACAAAACAACCUCAGCAGAAUCCAACUGACAAAUCACUUCAGGAAAACGUCCUGAGAGAGAAUUGUGUUUCUCUCUGUUCAGAGAAUGUGAAUGCCGCGGGGCCU